CAUCUUUGGUGUGUCUUGUCGUGUAAUAUCUUUCCCAAGAGCUAAUUGUCUGCUACACUGCCUCUUCCAGUAAUUUUUGAUCGCUCGCGAGAAAGUGGGUUUGGAAAAUUCGUUGAAAAUGCCAGUUGGUCCGCUGAGAGCUUUUGGAAGGAAACACAUCGAAUUGUUAAGUGCAUGGACACCCACGGCAGCGACGUUUGGCGCGACAGCCGGUGCUGCUCUAGUGUAUUUCACCGACUGGAAAUUAGUUCUUCAGUAUGUUCCUUACAUUAACGGGAAAUUCAAAAGUGAAGAGUGAUAUAGCGUGAAUGUUCUCCGUAGUCAUUAUGAACCCUACCAUCUCCAUGUAAUAUAUUAUUAAUGCGUAUUAUAUACGACAUCCUAUGUACAAAAUGUAACUCUACAAUGAACAGCGAACGACAUAGAAAAUAAAUUAUACUGCUGCACCGAAGAGACUGCAUCAGAUUUGUGUUAAAAAUGAACUUUAGAUUGUGAAUCUGAUUAAAGUACUAUAUUCAGA